rnacentral:rRNA from 1 species
UACGUAGGGAGCGAGCGUUAUCCGGAAUUAUUGGGUGUAAAGGGUGCGUAGACGGGAAUACAAGUUAGUUGUGAAAUCCCUCGGCUUAACUGAGGAACUGCAACUAAAACUAUACUUCUUGAGUGCAGGAGAGGUAAGUGGAAUUCCUAGUGUAGCGGUGAAAUGCGUAGAUAUUAGGAGGAACACCAGUGGCGAAGGCGACUUACUGGACUGUAACUGACGUUGAGGCACGAAAGUGUGGGGAGCAAACAGG